GUGCUUGCUUCGGCAGCACAUAUAGUAAAAUUGUAACAAUACAGAGAAGAUUAUCACAGCCCCUGCACAAAGGAUGACACUCAAAUUCAUGAAGCAUUCCAUAUUUUU
ensembl:snRNA U6 U6 spliceosomal RNA